rnacentral:tRNA from 1 species
GGGAGUUUGGUCUAGUGGUAUGAUUCUCGCUUUGGGUGCGAGAGGCCGCGAGUUCGAUUUUCGCAACUCCCC